rnacentral:rRNA from 1 species
AUGAAAUGCCUGCAGGAGCUAAAAAAAUUCUGUGUUAAAAAAGAGAGUGUUGGAUAUGAACUGAGAGAGUUGGGGAAACUAACAGAGCUUGGAGGAGAACUCAGCAUACAUAAUCUUGAGAAGGUGGCAACCGAGGAAGAGGCUGCAGAAGCCAAACUUGUGUGUAAAAGAGAUUUGAAAGAGUUGUGGUUAGUUUGGGGUACAGAUCACCAACAUAGCACAGAAUAUGGUGUUCUUGAUGCUCUUCAGCCACACCAUAAUCUUGGAGCACUUGGCAUUAUAAAUCAUGGUGGUAUAAAUGGUCCUAGUUGGUUGUUUGGUGACAUUAGCAUCAAAAUGUUGGGGUCUCUGCACCUGGAGGGUGUGUCUUGGGGCACCCUUCCACCUUUUGGGCAGCUAAUGCAUCUCACAUCACUCACAUUGACCAGCAUCUCUGUAUUUCGUGAGAUCAGGCCUGGUCUUUUUGGUGUCACAGACAAAAGCUUUAUGAGUUUGAAGCGGAUCGUUCUUGAUAGAUUACCUGAAUUUAUCAAGUGGGUUGCGGGAGCAACUACCCAUUGUUUUUCAAGGCUUGAAUACAUCAGCUGCAAAGAUUGUCCCAAUCUCUGCGCGGUCCCCUUCCUGGAGUGCUCUGUCUCUUAUACCCAUCUUUCGCAUUUUUCCAUUGAUGGUUGCCCAAAGUUGUCUCUGCCCCCCAUGCCUCACACGUCCACGCUGACAUAUUGUCAUGUGGCACUUCCUUCUUCAAAGCUUACUUAUUCUAGUUCUAGAGGGGAGAUGUCUAUUGAUGGGUAUAGUGGUGGGCUAGCCUGGCAUAACCUGCGUAAUAUAGUACCAGUGGAUAUCAGCAAUGUGUCACACUUUUCACUAACGGAGCUUAGUAAACAGAAAUCCCUAGCAAGGCUAGAUUUCUACAAAUGCAGCAUCACGGGCCAUGGACUGCAGGAUCUGAUGCGCCUCGAAUCAGUUAGAGUAAUACAUUGUCCCAACUUGUUUCGGUGGCCCGUCGAAGCAGCUCACACCAUCAGGCCUUUCCCCGCUUCCCUCAAGACACUUGAGAUUUUCGGAGAGUCAGGCAUGCAGUCAAUGGCUCUGCUCUCAAACCUCACUUGUCUCACUCGUCUAAAACUGGUGGACUGUGAGAAUUUGACAGUGGAUGGGUUUAAUCCUCUCGUCAGAGUCAACCUUGAUACAUUGGCGGUAUAUAACAGAGAUAAGUGUCCCAGCUGUACUAUAUCAGUGGAUCUGCUCUCGGAAUUGGUGGUAGCAAGGACAAACCUAUCAUUGCAUGUAGGCUCCUUCCAGUUGAAAGAACUUACAUUGGAUAGCAUCUCAGCGGUGCUUGUUGCUCCCAUCUGCACCCUCCUCGCCGCUACCCUCGAGAUGUUAGAAUUCAGGCAUGAUCAGCGGGCAGAAAGCUUCAUGGGAGAGGAAGAAGGAGCUCUUCAGCUCCUCACCUUCCUCAAUUUUCUCUAUUUUGGGGAUUGUCCAAAUCUGCCGUCCCUUCCUCAAGGGUUACACAGCCUUCCUUCUCUUGAGCAACUACGUGUCGAAGGUGUUGGUUUGAGUAGCACAAGCUAUCUGGGCUUACACAUCUGGUACCUGUUGUUGUGUCUCCAGAUCAAUGAACCUAGAUCAGAGGUGAAUGAUACUGAGCAUCUGUACGUAUUUUUCAUGCUCUUGGUCAGUCCAUGGUACCACCCACUGCCAACUGCAUCUUGCGCAGAUUGUGGAGACUGCAUAUAUAUAUGGUGUUUUGACUUGUUUCAUGCAUCUUGUGGCAUCAUCAUCCAGACGCUGAGGCUAAAGCUGAUUCAGACGCUGAGGCUGAAGUUGUGUGAUGGAAUUACCGAGCGGACCGGUGGAAACGGCUAUCGAGCUGUUCUCCUGAUUCAGUUGUAUACAUUUCAACAUUUGUGUCGCAAGAUUAACAGCUUGAGUGGACGAGUAAAUUUAUCCUCUGUAUCGAACGGAACAGGUUGGGUACGAGCUUGCUCACACAGUACAUCUUGCGCACCACAGACCGCCAAGUACAUCUUGUGCACAUCACAGAUCACCAUCCAGAAAGAAAAAAAACACCUUGCUGCGGGUUGUGGAGACUGUUGGUUUUAA